GAUGAACGCUGGCGGCAUGCCUAAGACAUGCAAGUCGAACGAGACGGCCCAAUGAAGACUGCGUACUUGUACAAAGUCGGAUUUGGAUUCCCGUCUAGUGGCGCAAGGGUGAGUAACACGUGGGUUAUCUACCUUCGAGUCUGGAAUAACAGUUAGAAAUGAUUGCUAAUGCCGGAUUAUAUAUAGGAUGGUAUUCUUCCUAUAUUAAAAGGAGCCUUUAAAGCUUCGCUUGAAGAUGAGCCUGCGCCGUAUUAGCUAGUUGGUGGGGUAAAGGCCUACCAAGGCGACGAUGCGUAGCCGACCUGAGAGGGUGAUCGGCCACACUGGGACUGAGACACGGCCCAGACUCCUACGGGAGACAGCAGUUAGGAAUAUUCGUCAAUGGGGGAAACCCUGAACGAGCAAUGCCGCGUGAAGGAUGACGGUCCUAUGGAUUGUAAACUUCUGUUGUUAGGGAAGAACGACCUAGGUAGGAAAUGACCUAGGAGUGACGGUACCUUUCAAGAAAG
rnacentral:rRNA from 1 species